UUCGUCCAGGGGGCCGCCUUCGCCACCGGUAUUCCUCCAGAUCUCUACGCAUUUCACCGCUACACCUGGAAUUCUACCCCCCUCUACGAGACUCAAGCUUGCCAGUAUCAGAUGCAGUUCCCAGGUUGAGCCCGGGGAUUUCACAUCUGACUUAACAAACCGCCUGCGUGCGCUUUACGCCCAGUAAUUCCGAUUAACGCUUGCACCCUCCGUAUUACCGCGGCUGCUGGCACGGAGUUAGCCGGUGCUUCUUCUGCGGGUAACGUCAAUGAGCAAAGGUAUUAACUUUACUCCCUUCCUCCCCGCUGAAAGUACUUUACAACCCGAAGGCCUUCUUCAUACACGCGGCAUGGCUGCAUCAGGCUUGCGCCCAUUGUGCAAUAUUCCCCACUGCUGCCUCCCGUAGGAGUCUGGACCGUGUCUCAGUUCCAGUGUGGCUGGUCAUCCUCUCAGACCAGCUAGGGAUCGUCGCCUUGGUGAGCCGUUACCCCACCAACAAGCUAAUCCCAUCUGGGCACAUCCGAUGGCAAGAGGCCCGAAGGUCCCCCUCUUUGGUCUUGCGACGUUAUGCGGUAUUAGCUACCGUUUCCAGUAGUUAUCCCCCUCCAUCAGGCAGUUUCCCAGACAUUACUCACCCGUCCGCCACUCGUCAGCAAAGAAGCAAGCUUCUUCCUGUUACCGUUCGACUUGCAUGUGUUA
rnacentral:rRNA from 1 species